UCCCAGGGACACCCAGCC
rnacentral:misc_RNA from 1 species